rnacentral:lncRNA from 1 species
CCAAGAUUUAAGAGUUGUUAAGCCCGCAACUCUUUUAGACGAUUGUGAGCUAGAUGAAGUAGAGGUUGGAAUAUUUGGCCUAGCAUGCUCUAAGGCAACUUUAUAAGCAUUAUAAACUAUUUGAACAUUAAUUUUAAUUGAUGCUUUUGCAUUUGCAAGUGUAGCAAUAUCCUCGUUUGAAAGAUCUAAAGCCUUAUAAAUAUUUGAAUACCAAAAGUGAGGACCUUCCAAUUUCAUUGUAAGAUUUAACAUUGCAGCAACACCAAAAAUAGGACGGAUAGAGAAAAAAGUAUUUUUUAAAUUUUUGUUUCAUUUCAUUUAUAGCA